rnacentral:rRNA from 1 species
UAGACACUAAGACAGCCCAUCCUGCUACUCUCCUUAAAUAAUCGGCCUAAACAAAUGACCCCUGUCCAAAUGUCUUCGGUUGGGGCGACCAUGGGGAAAUACAAAACCCCCACGCGGAAUGAGAGAACACCUAUACUUUAACCCCUCCCUCUCAAAACAAAGAGUCACAGCUCUAAGGAACAGAACUUCUGACCGAACAUGAUCCGGGUAAUACCGAUCAACGGACCAAGUUACCCCAGGGAUAACAGCGCAAUCCUCUUCUAGAGUCCAUAUCGACAAGAGGGUUUACGACCUCGAUGUUGGAUCAGGACAUCCUAAUGGUGCAGCCGCUAUUAAG